rnacentral:rRNA from 1 species
GGCCGACAGGCGUAGUCGAUGGAUAACGGGUUGAUAUUCCCGUACCGGCGCUGGUGCGCCAAUGCUGAAUCUCGCUGUACUAACCUUCUUGAGGGUGGCCUUCGGUGCCGAUGGUGGAUCUUGGUGGGUAGUAGGCAA